CACAGAGAGGAUAAAUAACUCAUCUCGGGAGUCACAGCUAGCAGAAGUGAUACUGAGAAACCUUUGGGACAAUUCAAGAGGAGGAAUGACUGGAGGACAACAGCAGAAAUGUGAAGAAAAUCAGACUGACAGGGUUGAGUGGCUAUUAACACUCUUUCUUUAAAGGAUACAGACCCAGGAUGAAGUCAGAUGUGAGAUUUCCUCUCCAAUUGAGGGUAUGUUUGCAGAUUAGAAGGAAGUUCUAAAGGCAGAUUUGUGAGAGGAGAAAGUAGGAAAGUAAGAAUGCAUCUUUCCAU
rnacentral:lncRNA from 1 species